UCAUACGACCAUAGGAAGCUUGGACCACUGAAACUCGUUGGAUCUUCUUUAGUUAAACAGUUUACCGGUGGAUUAGUAGUUAGGCGGGUGACCACUGACGAAUCUCCACUGUCGUAUGUU
rnacentral:rRNA from 1 species